rnacentral:rRNA from 1 species
AUUGAACGCUGGCGGCAGGCCUAACACAUGCAAGUCGAGCGGUAGAGAGUAGCUUGCUACUCUUGAGAGCGGCGGACGGGUGAGUAAUGCCUAGGAAUCUGCCUAGUAGUGGGGGAUAACGUUCGGAAACGGACGCUAAUACCGCAUACGUCCUACGGGAGAAAGUGGGGGAGUCUUCGGACCUCACGCUAUUAGAUGAGCCUAGGUCGGAUUAGCUAGUUGGUGAGGUAAUGGCUCACCAAGGCUACGAUCCGUAACUGGUCUGAGAGGAUGAUCAGUCACACUGGAACUGAGACACGGUCCAGACUCCUACGGGAGGCAGCAGUGGGGAAUAUUGGACAAUGGGCGAAAGCCUGAUCCAGCCAUGCCGCGUGUGUGAAGAAGGUCUUCGGAUUGUAAAGCACUUUAAGUUGGGAGGAAGGGCGAGUAACUUAAUACGUUGCUGUUUUGACGUUACGACAGAAUAAGCACCGGCUAACUCUGUGCCAGCA